GUACGAUGAUGACAAUCUUAGGACACCUUUGGAGGUUAUGGCCAGUGAGAAAAACAACACUUUCUGAGUGCG
ensembl:snoRNA SNORD58 Small nucleolar RNA SNORD58